GCGAAAUCCCCAUCGGCAGUUAUCACGAGAAGACAGAAGUUGCCUGGCGUGCAUCGAGUCAAUUUAGAAAAGAACAUCACCUGUUUGUUACUCAUCUGCACAAGUACUGGUGAAGGGGGUCAUCGGCCAUCAAAUUUCAGAGUUCAGUGGUUAAUAGGGGAUGUGAAAUGGCUACUCCAGUGAAACUAAGAAUCAUUCUUGGAGAAAACAAUUCUCAGAGAUUGAUCCUUCCAGAUGGGAUGCCAGAGACUGUCAUGGAACUCAUACAGGAAAUUAAGAGACACUGUGGAGUAGAUGGGGACUUCAGGCUUCAAUUUAUGGAUUUUGAGUUUGGGAACGAAUUCACUAAUUUGGUCUCAAUGUCAGACAUCCAGGACAAAAGCUCCAUCAAGGUCAUCUUUAACUCUGCUACACCUGCACAGCCUGAUGGAACCCCGCCCCCUCCCUACUCAGCUGCUGCAACCUCCCACCUGCUGGAUGACUCCUUGUCUCUUUCAUCUGCUGGUAGCUCAUGUGAUACAGACAUAUCUUCUACUGAGUCCACCUCCUCGCGAUCCACUGCAUGGCCCACUGUCUUCCCCAUGCCCCAGUU